AGAAUAACAUUACAGCAUUAUAAUAAUAAAUCAGCCGUACAUUCAAUAUCAAAACCAAAAAGUCAAAUGGUACCGAACGGGAAAGAUGGACAAUCUUUUUGGAGUGGCCAAAUGUGAGCAAUAAAGUUGGUUAAUGGUAUUCUUCCCCCCCCAAAACAAAGCUCAUAUACUGUAGUUGUAACGAGCUGAUUAAAAAAUAAAGUUUUUGCGGCAAAGCGUAGAUGUCGUCAUGGCAACACACUGCAGUCCCUAGCAAAAGACGUCACACAGCGUCGCUGCUUCCGGCUUUUUAAACACUGACCGGGAGUCGGAGAAAGAGGAGGCACCGGCGUUGUAGUCCGCACACUGCGGUAGAGUAGGGGAAAGUUCGAGGUAGCGCUAUCAUCUGCAAGCGGCGGACCUUGACUGGAAGGCUUUGGGCUGGGUGUGUGAUUACCUGACCUCUGUGUCUUGGCGGAUUUAGCCUACUUCUUCGGAUCAUACCGCGGAGCACGGUGCCUUCACCUGUUAAUCUGAGCGCUGCCUUGACACCAGAGGAGGUACUUGCCACACAUAACGCUUUUCUAUGACCUUGGUAUCGUACCACAAGAAUGGAGAGCAGGUGAUGGCUCGUGGCAAUCUCUCCGAUCACAAUCAGCAUGCGAUAGUUUCUGUGCUGGAAUGCAGCUCCAGCGUGGUGCUGUCCA